CAGCAGUCGCCGCGGUAAUACGAAGGGUGCAAGCGUUACUCGGAAUUACUGGGCGUAAAGCGUGCGUAGGUGGUGGUUUAAGUCCGUUGUGAAAGCCCUGGGCUCAACCUGGGAAUUGCAGUGGAUACUGGGUCACUAGAGUGUGGUAGAGGAUAGUGGAAUUUCCGGUGUAGCAGUGAAAUGCGUAGAGAUCGGAAGGAACAUCUGUGGCGAAGGCGACUAUCUGGGCCAACACUGACACUGAGGCACUAAAGCGUGGGGAGCAAACAGGAUUAGAUACCCCAGUAGUCCCUGUCUCUUAUAC
rnacentral:rRNA from 1 species